UGGGGAAUAUUGCGCAAUGGGCGAAAGCCUGACGCAGCGACGCCGCGUGAGGCAUGAAGGUUUUCGGAUCGUAAACCUCUGUCAGAAGGGAAGAAACUACGUUGUGCUAAUCAGCAGCGUACUGACGGUACCUUCAAAGGAAGCACCGGCUAACUCCGUGCCAGCAGCCGCGGUAAUACGGAGGGUGCAAGCGUUAAUCGGAAUUACUGGGCGUAAAGCGCACGUAGGCUGUAGUGUAAGUCAGGGGUGAAAUCCCACGGCUCAACCGGGGAACUGCCUUUGAUACUGCACAACUUGAAUCCGGGAGAGGGUGGCGGAAUUCCAGGUGUAGGAGUGAAAUCCGUAGAUAUCUGGAGGAACAUCAGUGGCGAAGGCGGCCACCUGGACCGGUAUUGACGCUGAGGUGCGAAAGCGUGGGGAGCAAACAG
rnacentral:rRNA from 1 species